AGCAGCCGCGGUAAUUCCAGCUCCAAUAGCGUAUAUUAAAGUUGUUGCAGUUAAAAAGCUCGUAGUUGAAUUUCGGGGUUAGUAGGUUGGUCAUGCCUCUGGUAUGUACUGGUCUCACUGAUUCCUCCUUCCUGAUGAGCCGUAAUGCCAUUAAUUUGGUGUUGCGGGGAAUUUGGACUGUUACUUUGAAAAAAUUAGAGUGUUUAAAGCAAGCUAACGCUUGAAUACAUUAGCAUGGAAUAAUGAAAUAGGACGUUUGAUUCUAUUUUGUUGGUUUUUAGGAUCGACGUAAUGAUUAAUAGGGAUAGUUGGGGGCAUUAGUAUUCAAUUGUCAGAGGUGAAAUUCUUGGAUUUAUUGAAGACUAACUACUGCGAAAGCAUUUGCCAAGGAUGUUUUCAUUAAUCAAGAACGAAAGUUAGGGGAUCGAAGACGAUCAGAUACCGUCGUAGUCUUAACCAUAAACUAUGCCGACUAGGGAUCGGAUGAUGUUAAUUUUUAAUGACUCAUUCGGCGCCUUAC
rnacentral:rRNA from 1 species